UACGUAGGGUGCAAGCGUUAAUCGGAAUUACUGGGCGUAAAGCGUGCGCAGGCGGUUAUGUAAGACAGAUGUGAAAUCCCCGGGCUUAACCUGGGAACUGCAUUUGUGACUGCAUGGCUGGAGUGCGGCAGAGGGGGAUGGAAUUCCGCGUGUAGCAGUGAAAUGCGUAGAUAUGUGGAGGAACACCGAUGGCGAAGGCAGCCCCCUGGGUCGACACUGACGCUCAUGCACAAAAGCGUGGGGAGCAAACAGG
rnacentral:rRNA from 1 species